UACAGAGGUGGCAAGCGUUGUUCGGAAUUACUGGGCGUAAAGGGCGCGUAGGCGGUUCGUUAAGUCCUGUGUGAAAUCCCCCGGCUCAACUGGGGAACUGCACAGGAAACUAGCGGGCUUGAGUUCGGGAGAGGGAAGCGGAAUUCCGGGUGUAGCGGUGAAAUGCGGUAGAUAUCCGGAGGAACACCGGUGGCGAAGGCGGCUCCUGGACCGACACUGACGCUGAGG
rnacentral:rRNA from 1 species